rnacentral:rRNA from 1 species
UACAGAGGUCUCAAGCGUUGUUCGGAUUCAUUGGGCGUAAAGGGUGCGUAGGCGGCGCGGUAAGUCGGGUGUGAAAUCUUGGAGCUUAACUCCGAAACUGCAUUCGAUACUGCCGUGCUUGAGGACUGGAGAGGAGACUGGAAUUUACGGUGUAGCGGUGGAAAUGCGUAGAUAUCGUAAGGAAGACCAGUGGCGAAGGCGGGUCUCUGGACAGUUCCUGACGUGAGCACGAAGGCCAGGGGAGCAAACGGG